ACAGCAGUAGCCGCGGUAACACAGAGGGUGCGAGCGUUAAUCGGAUUUACUGGGCGUAAAGCGUGCGUAGGCGGCUUUUUAAGUCGGAUGUGAAAUCCCUGAGCUUAACUUAGGAAUUGCAUUCGAUACUGGGAAGCUAGAGUAUGGGAGAGGAUGGUAGAAUUCCAGGUGUAGCGGUGAAAUGCGUAGAGAUCUGGAGGAAUACCGAUGGCGAAGGCAGCCAUCUGGCCUAAUACUGACGCUGAGGUACGAAAGCAUGGGGAGCAAACAGGAUUAGAUACCCCGGUAGUCCCUGUCUCUUAUAC
rnacentral:rRNA from 1 species